CACCCUUCCUUCCCCCAGAGGUAUAACCCGUUGGAAAGACGGGGUUAUUUCUCCAUAACCCAGGGGUUCCCGCCAUGGGGAUAUUUUUUAAAGAUUUUUUCCGGUGGAAGAUGGGCAUGCGUUCCAUUAGGUAGUUGGGUUAAGGUAACGGUUCACCAAGGCAACGAGGGUUAGGGGAACUGAGAGGUUUUUCCCCCACACUGGUACUGAGACACGGACCAGACUCCUACGGGAGGCAGCAGUGAGGAAUAUUGGUCAAUGGAGGCAACUCUGAACCAGCCACGUCGCGUGAAGGAUGACGGCCCUACGGGUUGUAAACUUCUUUUAUACAGGAAUAAAGUGAGUCACGUGUGAUUUUUUGCAUGUACUGUAUGAAUAAGGAUCGGCUAACUCCGUGCCAGCAGCCGCGGUAAUACGGAGGAUCCAAGCGUUAUCCGGAUUUAUUGGGUUUAAAGGGUGCGCAGGCGGAAGAUUAAGUCGGCGGUGAAAUUUUGCAGCUCAACUGUAAAAGUGCCAUCGAUACUGGUUUUCUUGAGUGUGGAUGAAGUAGGCGGAAUUUGUGGUGUAGCGGUGAAAUGCACAGAUAUCACGAGGAACUCCGAUUGCGCAGGCAGCUUACUAGGCCAUAGCUGACGCUUAGGCACGAAGGCGUGGGGAUCAAACAGGAUUAGAUACCCUGGUAGUCCACGCAGUAAACUAUGAUUACUCGCUGUUUGCGAUACACCGUAAGCGGCUUAGCGAAAG
rnacentral:rRNA from 1 species